CAGCUGUCAGUAAUGAAAAUUUAACCAAGUUGGGCAAACACAAAUAUGAAAUUAUCCGUUUUGUUUAUCACGAUGCAGUUGCUAACGCUGCUGCGGGUCGUAGUCCUUGCGACGGAGGUUGCCAGUACAUUGCAGGAGGUGCUUGCGAGUGACCAGCAGGACAUUCCCCCCUACACCACAGCAUGCAUACAGAAAUGCAUCGGCAAUAAUUUCCCCACAUUCGAGGAUCUGAGGGCAGCGGAGUGUUCGCUCUUCAUGCGCGAUUUCGACUGCACCCUCUACUGCACGUUCAAUGGAAAAGGAUAAGGCUUGUUUUGAAGGAAAAUGCCAGGACCAAAGUGGAUGUGGCAGCGAGUGCAAAUAUUUGCCAUUUACCCAGUUGCCAAAAACUGUUGGCCAAAAAAAAAACAAGUGCUACAUGGAGACAGUGGCGGCUGAAGGACUAUUAAUCAUUGCCACAUGCUGCCAGCCUGACCUUUGCGAUGACAUGCGAGUAAAUUAAUCUAACUGGCCAGACUGCGAAUGCGAAUGUGAAGGUCGUGUAUUGCAAUUAAACAUGCCAGCCGAUGCCAGGCGAUGAUGAAGGGAAUUUCUCAGCAUCUACACCCGUUUAUACCUAGCUGCCACCUUGCCACCUUGCCACCUCACCACCUUGGUGGCCAGACGCAUAAAUUUCAAUUUGCCACACCGUCUGGCUGCUGAUGGUGCUGCUGUUACUGCUGCUGCUCUUCUGGGUCUAUGCAUUUAAAUUGAUGACGAUGGUGCUGCAUAUGCGAAAAGUUGUUCGCGCCACGCCCCAAUGCGCAAUUAGCGGACCAUGGUCUAUAAAUUAUUCAACCUCCCCGUGGGUACCCACACUAGUUCCCUACGGAAAUUAUUGCCCAGAAGGGCGGACGUCCAAAAACUACAACGGACGUCGGCUAAAAUAUGCAUAGUAUGUUGCCAAGGACAUCGAGGACGACAAUUGAAUGCCAGCGAUUGAUGGGCCGCGAUUGAAAUGCAAUGCGUCAAGCAGGAUAACCAGAUAGUCGAAGAUGCGAGACCAUUUGUCAACACGUGCCUGCCAGGACAAUCACGCGUUCAACUCUGCCGUUUCCGGGGUGCAUCGGCAAUCAAAUUAACUCCGGCGUACAUGGCGUAUGCGCGAUAUUGUUUGGCGCGGUAAGCCCGGCUCAGUUAUAAAUAUCGGUGUGAAUGGCUAUUUAUUGGCACUGGCUUCAGACCAACAACCAAUAUGGCAAAUCUGGUAAAGUUUCAUUAAUUUUAAACAUACCAUUUCCACAAAAGAGUGCCCCUGCAAAUGUCAUCGCCUGUUUCGAAGUUCGAACUAAUAAAUCCUUUUUGGCUUUUGUCUUGCA
rnacentral:misc_RNA from 1 species